ensembl:rRNA 5S_rRNA 5S ribosomal RNA
GUCUACGGCCAUACCACCCUGAACGCGCCCGAUCUCGUCUAAUCUCGGAAGCUAAGCAGGGUCGGGCCUGGUUAGUACUUGGAUGGGAGAAGUGGAACAGCUGGGACUCGAAAUG